CCUACGGGAGGCAGCAGUCGAGAAUAGUCUACAAUGGUCGAAAGACUGAUAGUGCGACGCCGCGUGAACGAAGAAGCCCUUCGGGGUGUAAAGUUCUUUUAUAUGUGAGCAGUGCUUCUUAUGUGAACAGCAUGGGGAGAGAGAUAUUAGCAUAUGAAUAAGCAGCGGCUAACUCCGUGCCAGCAGCCGCGGUAAU
rnacentral:rRNA from 1 species